UACGUAGGAAGCGAGCGUUGUCCGGAAUUACUGGGCGUAAAGAGCGCGUAGGCGGCGCGGUACGAACCGCUGUGAAAGCCCCCAGCUCAACUGGGGAAGGGUCAGCGGUAACGGCCGGUGCUAUGAGUGCAGGAGAGGGAAGUGGAACUCCGGGAGUAGCGGUGAAAUGCGUAGAGGCCCGGAGGAACACCAGUGGCGAAGGCGGCUUCCUGGUCUGCGGACUGACGCUGUGGCGCGAAAGCUAGGGGAGCAAACGGG
rnacentral:rRNA from 1 species